UACGUAGGGUCCGAGCGUUGUCCGGAAUUAUUGGGCGUAAAGGGCUCGUAGGCGGUUCGUCACGUCGGGAGUGAAAACUCGGGGCUUAACCCCGAGCCUGCUUCCGAUACGGGCAGACUAGAGGUAGGCAGGGGAGAGCGGAAUUCCUGGUGUAGCGGUGAAAUGCGCAGAUAUCAGGAAGAACACCAAUGGCGAAAGCAGCUCUCUGGGACGGUACUGACGCUGAGACGCGAAAGCGUGGGGAGCGAACAGG
rnacentral:rRNA from 1 species